UAGUCUGACGGAGCACGCCGCGUGAGUGAUGACGGCCUUCGGGUUGUAAAGCUCUGUUAAUCGGGACGAAAGGCCUUCUUGCGAAUAGUGAGAAGGAUUGACGGUACCGGAAUAGAAAGCCACGGCUAACUACGUGCCAGCAGCCGCGGUAAUACGUAGGUGGCAAGCGUUGUCCGGAAUUAUUGGGCGUAAAGCGCGCGCAGGCGGAUAGGUCAGUCUGUCUUAAAAGUUCGGGGCUUAACCCCGUGAUGGGAUGGAAACUGCCAAUCUAGAGUAUCGGAGAGGAAAGUGGAAUUCCUAGUGUAGCGGUGAAAUGCGUAGAUAUUAGGAAGAACACCAGUGGCGAAGGCGACUUUCUGGACGAAAACUGACGCUGAGGCGCGAAAGCCAGGGGAGCGAACGGGAUUAGAUACCCCGGUAGUCCUGGCCGUAAACGAUGGGUACUAGGUGUAGGAGGUAUCGACCCCUUCUGUGCCGGAGUUAACGCAAUAAGUACCCCGCCUGGGGAGUACGACCGCAAGGUUGAAACUCAAAGAAUUUGACGGA
rnacentral:rRNA from 1 species